rnacentral:lncRNA from 1 species
UUUUAGCUGUUUUUUUGUGACUCACUUGUCUACAACUUUAGGGGCCAGUUUGGUACGGCGCGUGCGGCGCCACGGCGUGCCUAAGCUGCGGCGCCCGAAUCGGCCGCCACACCUGCGGCGGGAAAACUAUGGUGCGCCGUGGCGGCUUAGUCCACGCACCAAACAGCCCCUAGGUUUAGGUAUGUCAUCUAGAUAUAUCUAGUGACAAGCGUGUUCUUGGCCUAGUUAAUAGCCAUGGUUACUUGGACUCUGCAGUAUGCCUAGUGCCCUAGUGAGAAUUCAACAUGUACCUGUUCUUUCCAAGGGUACAUUCAGCUUCUGUGGAACAUGAGUGACACACGGGGGAUCCAGAAGUCAGAAGGCAUACCGAAAUCUGUCCUUUGAUUUAAUGUGGAUUAUAUAGAUGCUCAUCACUCAGCCAUGCUGUUGCAUAGUGCUAAAUAUGAUCUAGGUCCUGGUCUGGAUAAUGUUCUCCACAGCAUCUGCUGUGCGUGUGACCUGUGAUCAGUUCAGUCAGUUGACCAGGUUGUAAUUGACACUUGUUCCUCUGUUUCCGGCGCUUACUGCGCUGUUUCAGACUUAACCAUGGCUAUUAUGAAGUGAUGAAGCGUGGGGGUUUUUUGUCUGUCUACUUUAUCGCACAUGGGGGAGCUCUUUCCAGGAUUUAUAUGCCAUGUGUUUGUUGAUGUACAUGAUUCAUGUUCAAUGAGUUGAAUCCUCUUUCCAGCCUGCAUACUGGUUUGUCGCGGCGAG